rnacentral:misc_RNA from 1 species
GAUGAAGAACGUAGCGAAAUGCGAAAAGUAAUGUGAAUUGCAGAAUUCAGUGAAUCAUCGAAUCUUUGAACGCACAUUGCGCCCGCCAGUAUUCUGGCGGGCAUGCCUGUCUGAGCGUCAUUUCAACCCUCACGCCCCUAGGGCGUGGUGUUGGGGAUCGGCCAAGGCCCGCAAGGGACGGCCGGCCCCUAAAUCUAGUGGCGGACCCAUCGUGGCCUCCCCUGCGAAGUAGUAAUAUAUUCCGCAUCGGAUAGCGAUGAGCCCCUGCCGUUAAACCCCCAACUCUUACCAGGUUGACCUCAGAUCAGGUAGGAAUACCCGCUGAACUUAAGCAUAUCAAUAAGCGGAGGA